rnacentral:rRNA from 1 species
AUUGAACGCUGGUGGCAUGCCUUACACAUGCAAGUCGAACGGCAGCACGGGUGCUUGCACCUGGUGGCGAGUGGCGAACGGGUGAGUAAUACAUCGGAACGUACCUUAUCGUGGGGGAUAACGCAGCGAAAGCUGUGCUAAUACCGCAUACGCCCUGAGGGGGAAAGCGCGGGACCGCAAGACCUCGCGCGAUUAGAGCGGCCGAUGCCUGAUUAGCUUGUUGGUGGGGUAAAAGCCCACCAAGGCGACGAUCAGUAGCUGGUCUGAGAGGACGAUCAGCCACACUGGGACUGAGACACGGCCCAGACUCCUACGGGAGGCAGCAGUGGGGAAUUUUGGACAAUGGGGGCAACCCUGAUCCAGCAAUGCCGCGUGAGUGAAGAAGGCCUUCGGGUUGUAAAGCUCUUUUGUCAGGGAAGAAACACCGGCUCUAACACAGUCUGGGAAUGACGGUACCUGAAGAAUAAGCACCGGCUAACUACGUGCCAGCCGCCGCCGUAA